rnacentral:rRNA from 1 species
UACGUAGGGUGCGAGCGUUGUCCGGAAUUAUUGGGCGUAAAGAGCUCGUAGGCGCUUGUCGCGUCGGAUGUGAAAGCCCGGGGCUUAACUCCGGGUCUGCAUUCGAUACGGGCAGGCUAGAGUGUGGUAGGGGAGAUCGGAAUUCCUGGUGUAGCGGUGAAAUGCGUAGAUAUCGAGAGGAACACCAGAGGUGAAGACGGGUUGCUGGGCCGACACUGACGCUGACAGCGCGAAAGCCAGGGGAGCAAACGGG